rnacentral:rRNA from 1 species
AUUGAACGCUGGCGGCAUGCCUUACACAUGCAAGUCGAACGGUAACAGGUCUUCGGACGCUGACGAGUGGCGAACGGGUGAGUAAUACAUCGGAACGUGCCCAGUCGUGGGGGAUAACUACUCGAAAGAGUAGCUAAUACCGCAUACGAUCUGAGGAUGAAAGCGGGGGACCUUCGGGCCUCGCGCGAUUGGAGCGGCCGAUGGCAGAUUAGGUAGUUGGUGGGAUAAAAGCUUACCAAGCCGACGAUCUGUAGCUGGUCUGAGAGGACGACCAGCCACACUGGGACUGAGACACGGCCCAGACUCCUACGGGAGGCAGCAGUGGGGAAUUUUGGACAAUGGGCGAAAGCCUGAUCCAGCAAUGCCGCGUGCAGGAUGAAGGCCUUCGGGUUGUAAACUGCUUUUGUACGGAACGAAAAAGCUUCUCCUAAUACGAGAGGCCCAUGACGGUACCGUAAGAAUAAGCACCGGCUAACUACGUGCCAGCCGCCGCCGUAACAC